UAUCGCACUCGCUGAUUUAC
rnacentral:snRNA from 1 species